GUGCACAUCUCGUUGACUUGCUCAUGUUUUGCUGAGCAUUGUUAUUUCUGAUGUGCUAAAUUAAAUUGAAGGCUAAUUAGCAGUGUAACUUCAUACAUAGUUACUGCUGCCAGUCUCCUUCAGACAUAU